UGACCUACGGGAGGCAGCAGUGAGGAAUAUUGGUCAAUGGGCGCGAGCCUGAACCAGCCAAGUCGCGUGAGGGAAGACGGUCCUAUGGAUUGUAAACCUCUUUUGUCGGGGAGCAAAAGACGCCACGUGUGGCGUUCCGAGAGUACCCGAAGAAAAAGCAUCGGCUAACUCCGUGCCAGCAGCCGCGGUAAUACGGAGGAUGCGAGCGUUAUCCGGAUUUAUUGGGCUUAAAGGGCUCGUAGGCGGUUCGUCGCGUCCGGGGUGAAAGUCC
rnacentral:rRNA from 1 species